rnacentral:rRNA from 1 species
GGGCUCGCCGGUAAGGUACCUGAGCGCCGCCUACCCCUCGGGGCACGGCGGCGCGAUUACGGUACCGACGUAGGCCUGCGCGGCGCCGAGUAGGACCUUCUCGAACUAUAGCACCCUGUGCAUCCAACCCUUCUUAGAAGGGUCUGAAUCGCCUCAUAAACCUGUGCUGCCCCUAACCGGGUAGUAACUAAACUAAAGUUUUUAACUAAAUACUUUAAAACUUUCAACAACGGAUCUCUUGGUUCUGGCAUCGAUGAAGAACGCAGCGAAAUGCGAUAAGUAAUGUGAAUUGCAGAAUUCAGUGAAUCAUCGAAUCUUUGAACGCACAUUGCGCCCAUUAGUAUUCUAGUGGGCAUGCCUAUUCGAGCGUCAUUACAACCCUUAAGCCCUGUAGCUUAGCGUUGGGAGUCUACGCCCCCCAGGGGCGUAGUUCCUCAAAUACAGUGGCGGAGUUACAGCACACCCCAAGCGCAGUAGUUUAGCUCGCUUCCAGGGAGGCUGUGGCUGCUUGCCGUAAAAACCCCCUAUACUUAUAGUGGUUGACCUCGGAUUAGGUAGGAAUA